rnacentral:rRNA from 1 species
UACGGAGGGUCCAAGCGUUAUCCGGAAUCAUUGGGUUUAAAGGGUCCGUAGGCGGUUUAGUAAGUCAGUGGUGAAAGCCCAUCGCUCAACGGUGGAACGGCCAUUGAUACUGCUAGACUUGAAUUAUUAGGAAGUAACUAGAAUAUGUAGUGUAGCGGUGAAAUGCUUAGAGAUUACAUGGAAUACCAAUUGCGAAGGCAGGUUACUACUAAUGGAUUGACGCUGAUGGACGAAAGCGUGGGUAGCGAACAGG